rnacentral:lncRNA from 1 species
ACCAGGUCAAAAAGAUAUUAUUUUAUUUUAAUUAAUUUAUUAUUAUUAUUUUGGAGACAGGGUCUGGCUCUGUCUCCCAGGCCGAAAUGCUGUGUCAUGAUCUUGGCUCACCGCAACCUCCACCUCCCGGGUUCAAAUGAUUCUCCUGCCUCAGCCUCCGGAGUAGCUGGGAUUAUAGGCGUCCGCCACUAUGCCUGGGCUAAUUUUUGUAUUUUUAGUAGAGACAGGGUUUCGCCACAUUGCUCAGGCUGGUCUCGAACUCCUGACCUCAAGUGAUCCACCUGCCUCGGCAUCCCAAAAUGCUGGGAUUAUAGAUGUGAGCCACCGCGCCCAGCUAAAAAGAUAUUUUAAUAAUAUGAAUGCAACUCUGCAUGUGCAUGAAAUGCAAAGGUGACAGGGUGUUAUGAAAAUGUCUCCCUUCCCUCUAUUUUCUAGUCACCCAGAUUUCCUAUUAAGAAAAAAAAAUUGUCAUUAGUUUCUUAACCAAUGGGUUUUAAACCAGACUUCCUGACAUCUGUAAGAUCUUGGCUUGGGCUCGCGGCCUCGGUGAGGCUGGAAGGGUCUUUGUGUGAGCUCAGGACGGCGCUGGACAGGUGGGCCCUGGCUCCAGCUCCGGCUGCAGCGUCUUCCCCGCGCUCCCGAGCCUAUCCCUCGGGCGCCGGCCUGGGCUGUCCAGCGAGAGGGGCGGAGGGGCAGGGCCCCGGGCUAGGUCCAGGCCCGCAGCUGGCAUCAGGGGGGGCCUGGGUGGGAAGACCGGUUGGGGUGGGGGUGCACAGACCCGGGGAAUCUGAGACGCAAGGUUUCCGGCUCUUGGCCGCUAGUGAGGAAGGCUCGAGGCCGAUCCUGGCCCAAAGCAGGGCGCCGGGCCAUUGUCAGUCCUGGGAAGGGGGAUUGGGAGGAGCCCCAGAGGGGCGGCCAUUCCCUGGGGCGGCGUGGAAGGGAGGCAGCACCUCCAGGCGACAAGUAGAGCUGGGCCCUGGCGGGCUGCCACGGGGGUGUCUGGCAGUCUCUCCUGGGUCUAGGGCUGUUCCUCUGAGGUCACGAGGUGGUCCUUCGGGUGUGUCUGGGUUGGGAAGAUAAAACCAGCACGUGUAAUGUAAUACAUGACAAUGGAAGAUUCUACGUAAUUAAGGGUUAACUCUGAAAUCAGAAGACAAGUUUUCCAAGACUUGGGAAGGUGGAGAGAUCAGAGAUCAGUGAGAGAACAAAGAAUCGGGUAAGUAUUUCAAGAAGAGGCGCGUCUUACAGUGUGGAUCACAUUUCUGUAUGGGUGAGGUGGCUCACGCCUGUAAUCCUAACAUUUUUUUUUUUUUUUUUUUUGUGACUGAGUCUCGCUCUGUAGCCCAGGCUGGAGUGCAGUGGUGCAAUCUUGGUUCACUGCAACCUCCGCCUCUAACACUUUGGGAGGCCGAGGUGGGCGGAUGGCUUGAGUCCAGGAAUUCAAGACCAGCCUAGG